rnacentral:lncRNA from 1 species
AUGCUCUUUGGAGUUGCCCACCCGGUGCACUUCGAUCACUUCCAGGGCGGCGCCUUCUUCGCCCUGCCUCACGGCUCCAUUGGCGCACGGAGCCCCUGUUACCUUGUUCUCAGUGCCCUGCCUCCAGUCUCUGCUAUCCGACUCAGCACUCACGCUCUUUCUGGGUUGCGGGGCCGGCGACGCCGCAAGGCGAUGGUUGGCUGCCUUCUUGUCCACCUUCUUAACUGUCUUGCGGAUGCGGAAUCGCGCGGCUCGAAAGAUGCGCCCGUAGAGAACCAGCAUGAGCAGCAGAGGGAUGUAGAAAGCGCCGAAGGUGGAGUAAAUAGUGUAGCCGUGGUCCUUGCUGAUAGUGCACGCGUCCGGGUCCGAGCGGUCUUCCGGGGUGCGCCAGCCCAGCAUGGGCGGGAUGGAGAUGAGGAAGCCAAUGAGCCAGCAUCUACGGAGAACUUGGUGGAAUUCCUGGUCGCUGGUUGCAGAGUUCUUUUGGGCGCAGAAGCUGGGUUCAGCACCUGGGACAGCUCUAGGCAAUAAGGACUUAUGUCGCCACCUACCGGCAAACGCUUUAGAGGGCCAUCUAGAAACCCUCGUCUUGCAGAAAAGAGCGUGUACUGAAGAAAUCCACAACUUCAAUAAAGAUGGUUAUUAAAAGAAAAGUAACUUUGAGUUUUCCAUUUUUUCUAUUUUAUUCAAAAAUUUCUUUUAGUAUCAUCUGUUGCUUUUAAUCGUCUCUAUCAAGCCCAUUAUGUUUUCUGGCAUCAUCUGUUGCUUUUAAUCGUCUCUAUCAAGUCCAUUAUGUUUUCUGGCUUUUUUUUUUUGAAAGCCUGCAACAUGCCAUUCACAAGUUCUAUCUAGAAAUGCAAUUUUAAUAGACCUAGGGAAACACCUUCUCUUGUGUUGAUUUUGUGCUAACAUAUGCUGAACUUUGGAAGUCAUACAUUUGCACACAUUCAUCAAUGGGGAAAAAGCAUUAUUGGAUUUUCCAAAUGGGGAUGACUUAACAUAGAAGAUAAAAAGACUGCUAUGUGUUGGUUAUCUAAGCUGUUUCCUUUACCAAGGAAACCAAAUUUAAUUCCAUCUGCACUUAGGUAAAGAAUGGGAUUUCUACUCCAUUAGAGUAACAUAUAACGAAAUUCACUUAUACACUCUGAUUUCAGGACUGAAGCAAAGUACAGAAUGCAAUCCCAAAAGUAGAUGACGCUAGAUAAUGUGCACAGAUUCACUACAGGAUAGUAAUAGUCUUAAUACUGUGUUCAAACUUGAGAUCUAAAUGCUCCAAGACCAAACAAAAGAGCAAUCAUAAAAGUGUCAGAGAAAAUCUUGUUGUACAGGACGAUGUAUUUGGAGAUGGAUUGUUUUACAAUGCCGUGCUGGGCACAGUUCCCACUUAAUCAUUUCAGCAUGCCACAACAAUGAACCUGACAUUUAUCAUGAUUCAAGGCACUGAAAAGAAAGAGAUAAGUACAUAUGGUAAUACUGGCUACAGACUCUGAAAAGUCUUUUUAAAAUUUGUGUGGGUACUCAUUCUCCCCUUUAAAAUCUCCUCACAAAUACAAAGCUAAAUAACUUUAUUAAAAUACAGUUGCAGUUCCAGCAAAAUUUAAUAAAAAAAAUAAUUAUAAUCUAGAUUCUCCAAAGAUAAAACUUGGGAAAUAUAGCUGAUAACAUAA